GACGAACCGUGCGAACGUUAUUCGGAAUCACUGGGCUUAAAGCGCGUGUAGGCGGGCCGCCGCGUCGGCUGCUGAAAUCCCCCGGCUCAACCGGGGAAGGGGCACCGAUACGGGCGGCCUGGAGGGGGGUAGGGGGGUCUGGAACUUCCGGUGGAGCGGUGAAAUGCGUUGAGAUCGGAAGGAACGCCCGUGGCGAAAGCGAGGCCCUGGACCCUUUCUGACGCUGAGACGCGAAAGCCAGGGGAGCGAACGGG
rnacentral:rRNA from 1 species